UCUAAUAAGCAAAUCAGUCAUAGGGCUCCUCCCUCUUGGCAGGCACUGGUAUGGUGCAACUACAGUCACUUUCAUUGACCUGCCAAAGGAGAGUUGCCCUGCGAUUGCUUUGGCUUAAUGA